GAUGAACGCUGGCGGCGUGCCUAAUACAUGCAAGUCGAGCGAACAGAUGAGGAGCUUGCUCCUCUGACGUUAGCGGCGGACGGGUGAGUAACACGUGGAUAACCUACCUAUAAGACUGGGAUAACUUCGGGAAACCGGAGCUAAUACCGGAUAAUAUAUUGAACCGCAUGGUUCAAUAGUGAAAGACGGUUUUGCUGUCACUUAUAGAUGGAUCCGCGCCGCAUUAGCUAGGUGGUAAGGUAAAGGCUUACCAAGGCAACGAUGCGUAGCCGACCUGAGAGGGUGAUCGGCCACACUGGAACUGAGACACGGUCCAGACUCCUACGGGAGGCAGCAGUAGGGAAUCUUCCGCAAUGGGCGAAAGCCUGACGGAGCAACGCCGCGUGAGUGAUGAAGGUCUUCGGAUCGUAAAACUCUGUUAUUAGGGAAGAACAAAUGUGUAAGUAACUAUGCACGUCUUGACGGUACCUAAUCAGAAAGCCACGGCUAACUACGUG
rnacentral:rRNA from 1 species